rnacentral:rRNA from 1 species
AUUGAACGCUGGCGGCAGGCCUAACACAUGCAAGUCGAGCGGAUGAAGGGAGCUUGCUCCUGGAUUCAGCGGCGGACGGGUGAGUAAUGCCUAGGAAUCUACCUGGUAGUGGGGGAGAACGUCCGGAAACGGGCGCUAAUACCGCAUACGUCCUGAGGGAGAAAGUGGGGGAUCUUCGGACCUCACGCUAUCAGAUGAGCCUAGGUCGGAUUAGCUAGUUGGUGGGGUAAAGGCCUACCAAGGCGACGAUCCGUAACUGGUCUGAGAGGAUGAUCAGGCACACUGGAACUGAGACACGGUCCAGACUCCUACGGGAGGCAGCAGUGGGGAAUAUUGGACAAUGGGCGAAAGCCUGAUCCAGCCAUGCCGCGUGUGUGAAGAAGGUCUUCGGAUUGUAAAGCACUUUAAGUUGGGAGGAAGGGCAGUAAGUUAAUACCUUGCUGUUUUGACGUUACCAACAGAAUAAGCACCGGCUAACUUCGUG